rnacentral:rRNA from 1 species
UACGAAGGGGGCUAGCGUUGUUCGGAAUCACUGGGCGUAAAGGGCGCGUAGGCGGCCGAUCAAGUCGGGGGUGAAAGCCUGUGGCUCAACCACAGAAUUGCCUUCGAUACUGUUUGGCUUGAGACCGGAAGAGGUUAGUGGAACUGCGAGUGUAGAGGUGAAAUUCGUAGAUAUUCGCAAGAACACCAGUGGCGAAGGCGGCUGACUGGUCCGGUUCUGACGCUGAGGCACGAAGGCCAGGGGAGCAAACGGG